rnacentral:rRNA from 1 species
ACUCAAAGGAAUUGACGGGGGCCCGCACAAGCGGCGGAGCAUGCGGAUUAAUUCGAUGCAACGCGAAGAACCUUACCUGGGUUUGACAUACGCCGGAAAGCUCUAGAGAUAGAGCCCCUUUUAGUCGGUGUACAGGUGGUGCAUGGCUGUCGUCAGCUCGUGUCGUGAGAUGUUGGGUUAAGUCCCGCAACGAGCGCAACCCUCGUUCCAUGUUGCCAGCAGCAUUCCCUGCCCUUUGGGUGAUGGGGUGGCUGGGGACUCAUGGGAGACUGCCGGGGUCAACUCGGAGGAAGGUGGGGAUGACGUCAAGUCAUCAUGCCCCUUAUGUCCAGGGCUUCACGCAUGCUACAAUGGCCGGUACAAAGGGCUGCGAUCCCGUGAGGGGGAGCGAAUCCCAAAAAGCCGGUCUCAGUUCGGAUUGGGGUCUGCAACUCGACCCCAUGAAGUCGGAGUCGCUAGUAAUCGCAGAUCAGCAACGCUGCGGUGAAUACGUUCCCGGGCCUUGCACACACCGCCCGU